rnacentral:rRNA from 1 species
CCUACGGGAGGCAGCAGUAGGGAAUAUUGGGCAAUGGACGAGAGUCUGACCCAGCCAUGCCGCGUGCAGGAAGACGGCGUUCUGCGUUGUAAACUGCUUUUAUACGGGAAGAAAAGGCCCAUGCGUGGGACAUUGCCGGUACCGUAUGAAUAAGCACCGGCUAACUCCGUGCCAGCAGCCGCGGUAA